rnacentral:pre_miRNA from 1 species
GCCUCGUCGGUGCCGCCUGACACACUGACGACACUACCCAUUUUUCUCCCCAAUCAUUCUGUCAUCAUUACCAGUAUGUAUUUUUUAAAGAUACCUGAAAAAUACGGGUAUACCAAUUUUUAAAAAAAAAGAAGAAAAAUAUAUAUUUUCUAAUGGUGUUGUCGCCGUGCCAAGCGGCACCUCUAUUUACCUGGCG